rnacentral:rRNA from 1 species
GACGAACGCUGGCGGCGUGCUUAACACAUGCAAGUCGAACGGAAAGGCCCUGCUUUUGUGGGGUGCUCGAGUGGCGAACGGGUGGGUAACACGUGAGUAACCUGCCCUUGACUUUGGGAUAACUUCAGGAAACUGGGGCUAAUACCGGAUAGGAGCUCCUGCUGCAUGGUGGGGGUUGGAAAGUUUCGGCGGUUGGGGAUGGACUCGCGGCUUAUCAGCUUGUUGGUGGGGUAGUGGCUUACCAAGGCUUUGACGGGUAGCCGGCCUGAGAGGGUGACCGGCCACAUUGGGACUGAGAGACGGCCCAGACGGGUACGGGAGGCAGCAGUGGGGAAUAUUGCACAAUGGGCGGAAGCCUGAUGCAGAAACGCCGCGUGCGGGAUGACGGCCUUCGGGUUGUAAACCGCUUUCGCCUGUGACGAAGCGUGAGUGACGGUAAUGGGUAAAGAAGCACCGGCUAACUACGUG